AUCAGCUGCUGGUUUGUCGAUGUCUUCUAUUUCCUUCAGUAAACCCGACAUGACUUCACCUGUAAAGCGGAAUAAAAGCAGCAUUUAUUAUUCUAUUAUUCUGAGAGGAAGCUUCACCUGGUGCUGCUUGUGGACGGCGUUCACUUUGGGUUUUCCAUUAAAAAGCUUAUUUUGUGAAAAUGACAGUUGUAAGGAGAAGCACAAUGAUGCAACAAUGGAUUUUGGACACUUAUAACAGUGAACCUUUAACACUCCACUGGGGGCUUUGUGUAUGAUCCCGUUCCCUGGAUUAAAAGGUAUUUCCUCAUCAAGAGCAUAACUGUAUUUAAAUGUGUGGAUAGAGGGAACGUCAGACAUAGAAGGUACUAAAGAUCAAUUAUGUUCAGCCAAACAAUCACAGUGCUCAAACAAAUGAAGUGCAUUGAAGGAGCAGAUGUGGACACAAACAAAUAUUAACAUGAAAACAUGAAUGUGCGAGGAGGAAGAAGAUUAUAUUUACGUUGUUUUGUGUUGUGA
ensembl:lncRNA